UACGUAGGUGGCAAGCGUUGUCCGGAUUUAUUGGGUUUAAAGGGUGCGUAGGCGGUUUUUUAAGUCAGUGGUGAAAUACGGCAGCUCAACUGUCGAGGUGCCAUUGAUACUGUAGGACUUGAGUACAGACGAGGUAGGCGGAAUUGACGGUGUAGCGGUGAAAUGCUUAGAUAUCGUCAAGAACACCGAUAGCGAAGGCAGCUUACUAGGCUGUAACUGACGCUGAGGCACGAAAGUGUGGGGAUCAAACAGG
rnacentral:rRNA from 1 species